rnacentral:lncRNA from 10 species
CCUGGGCUCACCCAGCACUGGGAACUCCUGCCUCAGCCUUCCAAAGUGCUGGGAUUACAGGCGUAAGCCACCGCGCCCAGCCAAUUCUGACUCCAUUUUUGAUGAUUAACUGCUGACAGCUGUCAAGCCCCAUCCCUCCCUUUUCCCCUCUUGCCGUAUAGCUGGACAAACCAAUAAAAAAGCCCAGCUGCUCCCUCCCUUGCUGCUGGCAGAUAGUUUCACCCACACAAACCCAGCCCAUGGGUAGGGGCCCUCACCCCAGCCUCCCUUCCAAAC